UACGGGGGGGAGCAAGCGUUGUUCGGAUUUACUGGGCGUAAAGAGCGUGUAGGCGGCCAAACAGGUCCGUUGUGAAAACUGGAGGCUCAACCUCCAGACGUCGACGGAAACCGUAUGGCUAGAGUCCGGAAGAGGAGAGUGGAAUUCCUGGUGUAGCGGUGAAAUGCGCAGAUAUCAGGAAGAACACCAAUGGCGAAGGCAGCUCUCUGGGACGGUACUGACGCUGAGACGCGAAAGCGUGGGGAGCGAACAGG
rnacentral:rRNA from 1 species